AGUGAACGCUGGCGGUAGGCCUAACACAUGCCAGUCGAACGGCAGCACAGUAAGAGCUUGCUCUUACGGGUGGCGAGUGGCGGACGGGUGAGGAAUACAUCGGAAUCUACUUUUUCGUGGGGGAUAACGUAGGGAAACUUACGCUAAUACCGCAUACGACCUACGGGUGAAAGCAGGGGAUCUUCGGACCUUGCGCGAUUGAAUGAGCCGAUGUCGGAUUAGCUAGUUGGCGGGGUAAAGGCCCACCAAGGCGACGAUCCGUAGCUGGUCUGAGAGGAUGAUCAGCCACACUGGAACUGAGACACGGUCCAGACUCCUACGGGAGGCAGCAGUGGGGAAUAUUGGACAAUGGACGCAAGCCUGAUCCAGCCAUACCGCGUGGGUGAGGAAGGCCUUCGGGUUGUAAAGCCCUUUUGUUGGGAAAGAAAAGCAGCAGGUUAAUACCCCGCUGUUCUGACGGUACCCAAAGAAUAAGCACCGGCUAACUUCGUG
rnacentral:rRNA from 1 species